UAUUUUUUUUCACUCUCUUUCUUCUUGGUAUUACGCCCAAAUUUUGCUCGAGGCGGGAGUUGUCUCUGUAAAAUCUCAUUACUUUUUCCCUCCCGAUCUCCGGAUUCUCCAAAUUAGGAUUUCCUUCUUCACUCAAAAUAAUCAUUUUCUAGGGUUUAAUCAAUCCUUCAAAUUACUCAAAUUCAUUUAGGGUUUGUCAAGGGGGGUCUUGAUUUUGUUCUAAUUGUAAUGAUAAACCUUAAAUGGGAGUAUUCUUUCUUAGGGUUUCGUUCAGAUUGAAGAUUCGAACACGAAUUUCUGAAGAUUUGUCACCAUGGGUGCCUUAACCAUCAAUAACCGUAAGCGUGGUAACGAUUAUCUCAACUUAAAUUCUGCCGUAAAUUCUUUUCAAUCUCCAAUUUCUCCAAGUUCUGUUAUUGAUUUUCAAGUAUUGAAAAAACCUAGGUUUUCAUCUAUGCAAAUUACUAGUUCAGAGACCUCUCUUGUUGUUGUUGAAACUAAAACAAAUAUAGCUUCUAGAGUUCGUAGAUAUCCCGAACCUAGUAAGCGUUUAGGUAGAGCAGUACAUGCCCCUGUUCGAAAACCUAGGGUUUUAUCAUCAUUGUCGUGGAGUCUAGGUAGAGAUACUGAAAUGGGGAAUUUUUUGAGUCACUUGGAAGAGGCGAAGAGAAAUGUGUGGGGUUCGGGUAAGAAGGAGAAGGAGGAGAGGGAGGUGGAUAUAGUUAAGGAUGAUUUGAAUGUUGAUGAAGUAGAGGUAAUAGAGGAUGGAGUUGUUCAAGUAGUAGAUGGAAGGUCAGUGAUUUCUGAACCGAAACAACAACCUUUUGAAACUAGUGGAGAUAAAUAUUUGUUUGAGAAAUAUGAAGAAUUCGCUAAUAAUCCUGUUGGGUCGUCUUCGAUGGUGUCGGAUGUGAGCAAUCAGGAACCAAAAGUUGAUGAGACUGGUAAAUUGUUGGAAGCUUUGUACGUGGAUCGAGAUUUGGAAUAUGCGGGCGUGCCUGUGCACAAAACGCUUUACAAAUCAGCAGAGAAAAGGAAUGCUAAGUUGGAAUCUUUGGGAUUUCAAAUUGAUUUAGCGAACAAAAGAUUAUCAGGUUUCCCAAGACCUUCAAAGAAAACUGAAGAGGAUGUAGUUGAAGGACUUUUUACACCUCUUACAGAUGAGGAGGAUAGGGAAGUUGAUGCUGCCUUUUCAUCAUUAAAAAGGCGGAAAGUUCUGGUGGCACAUGAGAAUUCUAAUAUUGAGAUUACUGGGGAACUUCUACGAUGCUUGACACCAGGUGGUUGGUUGAAUGAUGAGGUAAUAAAUGUUUAUCUGGAAUUACUGAAGGAGCGGGAGAGGCGAGAACCAAAAAAGUUUCUGAAAUGCCAUUUCUUCAACACAUUCUUUUAUAAGAAGUUGGCUAGUGGGAGGACAGGAUAUGACUACAAAGCCGUCAAGAGGUGGACUACCCAAAGGAAGAUCGGAUACGGUCUUAUUGAGUGUGACAAAAUAUUUGUCCCCAUACAUCAACAAAUACACUGGUGCUUAGCAGUGAUUAAUAAGAAGGAAGAGAAGCUCCAAUAUCUUGAUUCUCUUAAAGGCGUCGAUACUGAAGUCUUGGAAAAUCUGGUAUGUUUGGCAGCAAUUGUGGCAUUUUUCUGUUCUUUUAAAAUGCUAGGUAUUUCAUGGACGAAGUAAAGGAUAAGAGUGGAAAAGAUAUUGAUGUGAGCUCUUGGAAACGUGAAUAUGUUAAACAUCUUCCUGAACAACAAAAUGGGUGGGAUUGUGGAAUGUUCAUGAUUAAAUACUCCGAUUUUUACAGCAGAGGUCUUGGGCUUCGUUUUAGUCAGGAGCACAUGCCCUACUUCCGGCGUAGGACAGCCAGUGAAAUUUUGAGGUUGAAAGCUGAUUGAAAUAUGAGACAUCAGCUGACCAAAUAAUAUACGAGGCUACUCAAUAUUAAACUGUACUUGCUGCUGCAGAUAAACAAUGCAAGUAAAAUAUAAGGAUGCUGCUUCUAUUUUUGUGUUUGGCUAGCCUAUUUUUGUGGUUAAGACGAGAAUGAUAUAAUUAAUGACGCAGUAGGCUGCAUUUCAUGCUGUAUGUAAAACAAAUGAAAUGAGACCUACAUGCCACUGACAUUUAGGUUACAAGUUCUCAAUUUUGUUUGGUUUUGGAGUUAAUUAUUAGAUUUGCUGCUUAUUGCAAGCCUUUUGUAGACAACUGGGAAUUAUAAUGACAAAUUAUGCUUUGGAUUUUUC